rnacentral:rRNA from 1 species
GGUUAAGCGACUAAGCGUACACGGUGGAUGCCCUGGCAGUCAGAGGCGAUGAAGGACGUGCUAAUCUGCGAAAAGCGUCGGUAAGGUGAUAUGAACCGUUAUAACCGGCGAUGUCCGAAUGGGGAAACCCAGUGCAAUUCGUUGCACUAUCGUUAACUGAAUACAUAGGUUAACGAGGCGAACCGGGGGAACUGAAACAUCUAAGUACCCCGAGGAAAAGAAAUCAACCGAGAUUCCCCCAGUAGCGGCGAGCGAACGGGGAGCAGCCCAGAGUCUGAAUCAGCUUGUGUGUUAGUGGAACGGUCUGGAAAGUCCGACGGUACAGGGUGAUAGUCCCGUACACCAAAAUGCACAGGUUGUGAACUCGAAGAGUAGGGCGGGACACGUGGUAUCCUGUCUGAAUAUGGGGGGACCAUCCUCCAAGGCUAAAUACUCCUGACUGACCGAUAGUGAACCAGUACCGUGAGGGAAAGGCGAAAAGAACCCCGGCGAGGGGAGUGAAAAAGAACCUGAAACCGUGUACGUACAAGCAGUGGGAGCACCUUCGGGUGUGACUGCGUACCUUUUGUAUAAUGGGUCAGCGACUUAUAUUCUGUAGCAAGGUUAACCGUAUAGGGGAGCCGCAGGGAAACCGAGUCUUAACUGGGCGUUAAGUUGCAGGGUAUAGACCCGAAACCCGGUGAUCUAGCCAUGGGCAGGUUGAAGGUUGGGUAACACUAACUGGAGGACCGAACCGACUAAUGUUGAAAAAUUAGCGGAUGACUUGUGGCUGGGGGUGAAAGGCCAAUCAAACCGGGAGAUAGCUGGUUCUCCCCGAAAGCUAUUUAGGUAGCGCCUCGUGAAUUCAUCUUCGGGGGUAGAGCACUGUUUCGGCUAGGGGGUCAUCCCGACUUACCAACCCGAUGCAAACUACGAAUACCGAAGAAUGUUAUCACGGGAGACACACGGCGGGUGCUAACGUCCGUCGUGAAGAGGGAAACAACCCAGACCGCCAGCUAAGGUCCCAAAGUCAUGGUUAAGUGGGAAACGAUGUGGGAAGGCACAGACAGCCAGGAUGUUGGCUUAGAAGCAGCCAUCAUUUAAAGAAAGCGUAAUAGCUCACUGGUCGAGUCGGCCUGCGCGGAAGAUGUAACGGGGCUAAACCAUGCACCGAAGCUGCGGCAGCGACACUAUGUGUUGUUGGGUAGGGGAGCGUUCUGUAAGCCUGCGAAGGUGUGCUGUGAGGCAUGCUGGAGGUAUCAGAAGUGCGAAUGCUGACAUAAGUAACGAUAAAGCGGGUGAAAAGCCCGCUCGCCGGAAGACCAAGGGUUCCUGUCCAACGUUAAUCGGGGCAGGGUGAGUCGACCCCUAAGGCGAGGCCGAAAGGCGUAGUCGAUGGGAAACAGGUUAAUAUUCCUGUACUUGGUGUUACUGCGAAGGGGGGACGGAGAAGGCUAUGUUAGCCGGGCGACGGUUGUCCCGGUUUAAGCAUGUAGGCUGAUUGUCCAGGCAAAUCCGGAUAAUCAAGGCUGAGGUGUGAUGACGAGGCACUACGGUGCUGAAGUAACAAAUGCCCUGCUUCCAGGAAAAGCCUCUAAGCAUCAGGUAACAUUAAAUCGUACCCCAAACCGACACAGGUGGUCAGGUAGAGAAUACCAAGGCGCUUGAGAGAACUCGGGUGAAGGAACUAGGCAAAAUGGUGCCGUAACUUCGGGAGAAGGCACGCUGGUGUGUAGGUGAAGUCCCUGCGGAUGGAGCUGAGACCAGUCGAAGAUACCAGCUGGCUGCAACUGUUUAUUAAAAACACAGCACUGUGCAAACACGAAAGUGGACGUAUACGGUGUGACGCCUGCCCGGUGCCGGAAGGUUAAUUGAUGGGGUUAUCCGUAAGGAGAAGCUCUUGAUCGAAGCCCCGGUAAACGGCGGCCGUAACUAUAACGGUCCUAAGGUAGCGAAAUUCCUUGUCGGGUAAGUUCCGACCUGCACGAAUGGCGUAAUGAUGGCCAGGCUGUCUCCACCCGAGACUCAGUGAAAUUGAACUCGCUGUGAAGAUGCAGUGUACCCGCGGCAAGACGGAAAGACCCCGUGAACCUUUACUAUAGCUUGACACUGAACAUUGAGCCUUGAUGUGUAGGAUAGGUGGGAGGCUUUGAAGCGUGGACGCCAGUCUGCGUGGAGCCAACCUUGAAAUACCACCCUUUAAUGUUUGAUGUUCUAACGUUGGCCCCUGACCGGGGUUGCGGACAGUGUCUGGUGGGUAGUUUGACUGGGGCGGUCUCCUCCCAAAGCGUAACGGAGGAGCACGAAGGUUAGCUAAUCCUGGUCGGACAUCAGGAGGUUAGUGCAAUGGCAUAAGCUAGCUUGACUGCGAGCGUGACGGCGCGAGCAGGUGCGAAAGCAGGUCAUAGUGAUCCGGUGGUUCUGAAUGGAAGGGCCAUCGCUCAACGGAUAAAAGGUACUCCGGGGAUAACAGGCUGAUACCGCCCAAGAGUUCAUAUCGACGGCGGUGUUUGGCACCUCGAUGUCGGCUCAUCACAUCCUGGGGCUGAAGUAGGUCCCAAGGGUAUGGCUGUUCGCCAUUUAAAGUGGUACGCGAGCUGGGUUUAGAACGUCGUGAGACAGUUCGGUCCCUAUCUGCCGUGGGCGCUGGAGAAUUGAGGGGGGCUGCUCCUAGUACGAGAGGACCGGAGUGGACGCAUCACUGGUGUUCGGGUUGUCAUGCCAAUGGCACUGCCCGGUAGCUAAAUGCGGAAGAGAUAAGUGCUGAAAGCAUCUAAGCACGAAACUUGCCCCGAGAUGAGUUCUCCCUGAGACUUUAAGUCUCCUGAAGGAACGUUAAAGACGAUGACGUUGAUAGGCCGGGUGUGUAAGCGCAGCGAUGCGUUGAGCUAACCGGUACUAAUGAACCGUGAGGCUUAACCUU